rnacentral:rRNA from 1 species
CCGAUAAGAAAUUGGAGGAAGGUGAGGAUGACGUCAAGUCAGCAUGCCCCUUACGCCCUGGGCUACACACGUGCUACAAUGGAUAAGACAAAAAGCAGCGAAUUUGCGAAAAUGUGCUAAUCUCCAAACUUAUCCUUAGUUCAGAUUGUAGGCUGCAACUCGCCUACAUGAAGGUGGAAUCGCUAGUAAUCGCUGGUCAGCUACACAGCGGUGAAUCCGUUCCCGGGCCUUGUACACACCGCCCGUCACACCAUGGAAGUUAGUUAUACCCGAAGUUGUUAUCUUAACCCGUAAGGGAGAGAGACACCUAAGGUAGAAUUAGUGACCGGGGUGAAGUCGUAACAAGGUAACC